GUACCGUGAGGGAAAGGUGAAAAGCACCCCGAUAAGGGGAGUGAAAUAGUUCCUGAAACCGGAUGCCUACAAGCAGUUGGAGCCUCUAUAUGGGGUGACAGCGUACCUCUUGCAUAAUGGGUCAGCGAGUUAGUCUUACAAGCGAGCUUAAGCCGUUAGGUGUAGGCGCAGCGAAAGCGAGUCUGAACAGGGCGACUGAGUUAAAUGGAUUAGACCCGAAACCCGGCGAUCUAGUUAUGAGCAGGUUGAAGGUGCGGUAACACGCACUGGAGGACCGAACCCACGUCUGUUGAAAAAGACGGGGAUGACUUGUGAUUAGGGGUGAAAGGCCAAUCAAGCCGGGAGAUAGCUGGUUCUCCGCGAAAACUAUUUAGGUAGUGCCUCAGGUAUUACCUACGGGGGUAGAGCACUGGAUGGAUGCGGGGGGCGCGAGCCUUACCAAUUCUAACCAAACUCCGAAUACCGUAGAGUAGAGCCUGGGAGACAGACUGUGGGUGCUAAGGUCCAUAGUCGAGAGGGAAACAGCCCUGACCACCAGCUAAGGUCCCUAAAUCAUGUCUAAGUGGGAAAGCAUGUGAGACGGCCAUAACAACCAGGAUGUUGGCUUAGAAGCAGCCAUCAUUUAAAGAAAGCGUAACAGCUCACUGGUCUAAUUAAGCUGUCUUGCGGCGAAGAUGUACCGGGGCUAAAGACAUGUACCGAAGCUGUGGAUGUGCACUUUGUGCACGUGGUAGCGGAGCGUUCCGUAAGCCGUUGAAGGUGUGGCGCGAGCCAUGCUGGAGGUAUCGGAAGUGAGAAUGCUGACAUGAGUAGCGAUAAAGAGUGUGAGAGACACUCUCGCCGAAAACCCAAGGGUUCCUGCGCAAGGCUAAUCCGCGCAGGGUGAGUCGGCCCCUAAGGCGAGGCCGAAAGGCGUAGUCGAUGGGAAACGGAUUAAUAUUUCCGUACUUGGUAUAAUUGCGAUGGGGGGACGGAGCAGGCUAAGCAAGCAUGGCGAUGGUAGUCCAUGUGAAAGUGUGUAGGCUAGUGACUUAGGUAAAUCCGGGUUGCUGUUAGGCUGAGACACGAGACGAGUCACCAAGGUGAUGAAGUUGCUGAUGCCAUACUUCCAGGAAAAGCCUCUAAGCUUCAGAUCACAUGCGACCGUACCCCAAACCGACACAGGUGGUCAGGUAGAGAAUACCAAGGCGCUUGAGAGAACUCGGGUGAAGGAACUAGGCAAAAUGGCACCGUAACUUCGGGAGAAGGUGCACCGGUUCGAGUGAAGGACUUGCUCCGUAAGCUCUUACCGGUCGAAGAUACCAGGUGGCUGCAACUGUUUAUUAAAAACACAGCACUCUGCAAACGCGCAAGCGGACGUAUAGGGUGUGACGCCUGCCCGGUGCCGGAAGGUUAAGAGGAGAUGUUCGCUUCGGCAAAGCAUUGAAUUGAAGCCCCGGUAAACGGCGGCCGUAACAAUAACGGUCCUAAGGUAGCGAAAUUCCUUGUCGGGUAAGUUCCGACCUGCACGAAUGGUGUAACGACUUGGGCACUGUCUCGGCCAUGAGCUCGGUGAAAUUGUGGUAUCGGUGAUGACGCCGAUUACCCGCAGCGGGACGAAAAGACCCCGUGAACCUUUACUACAACUUUACAUUGGCUUUAGCUGUCGCAUGUGUAGGAUAGGCGGGAGACUUUGAAGCGGCGUCGCCAGGCGUUGUGGAGUCACCCUUGAAAUACCGCCCUUGCCACAGGUGAAGUCUAACCCUUCAGGGGGAACAGUGUAUGGUGGGUAGUUUGACUGGGGCGGUCUCCUCCUAAAGAGUAACGGAGGAGCACGAAGGUACCCUCAGCACGGUUGGAAAUCGUGCAUUGAGUGCAAGAGCAUAAGGGUGCUUGACUGCGAGACAGACACGUCGAGCAGGUACGAAAGUAGGUUCUAGUGAUCCGGUGGUUCUGUAUGGAAGGGCCAUCGCUCAACGGAUAAAAGGUACUCCGGGGAUAACAGGCUGAUACCGCCCAAGAGUUCAUAUCGACGGCGGUGUUUGGCACCUCGAUGUCGGCUCAUCUCAUCCUGGGGCUGGAGCAGGUCCCAAGGGUAUGGCUGUUCGCCAUUUAAAGUGGUACGCGAGCUGGGUUUAGAACGUCGUGAGACAGUUCGGUCCCUAUCUGCCGUGGGCGUCGGAAGUUUGAGAAGAGCUGCUCCUAGUACGAGAGGACCG
rnacentral:rRNA from 1 species